rnacentral:rRNA from 1 species
GACGAACGCUGGCGGCGUGCUUAACACAUGCAAGUCGAACGAAGUGGCGAACGGGUGAGUAACGUGUAAGCAACCUGCCGUUCAGGGGGGGACAACAGUUGGAAACGACGGCUAAUACCCCAUACUGAAGGGUGGGCUGGCGUCUGAUUAGCUAGGUGGAGGGGCAACGGCCCGCCCAGGCGAUGAUCAGUAGCCGGUCUGAGAGGAUGAACGGCCAAAUCGGGACUGAGACAAGGCCCAGACUCCUACGGGAGGCAGCAGUGGGGAAUCUUUCGCAAUGGACGAAAGUCUUACGGAGCAACUCCGCGUGAGUGAUGACGGCCUUCGGGUUGUAAAGCUCUGUUAAUCGGGACGCGGUACCGGAAUAGAAAGCCACGGCUAACUACGUGCCAGCAGCCGCGGUAAUUC